UAUCUUUGACCUCCUUAAGGUCCAUGUCUUUUAAUGUUGAGUCAAAUAAUGUGAACAGGUUAUUAAUUUUUUCACAUUUUCCCAAAGUGACAAGCAUGAUAGUUUCCCAGUCAGCUUUACCAUUGUUUUGUCCCAAGCACGAAGAUACCCAUAUUCCAGAUGGUGCUUCUUACACAUCCACGGGCAGACAGGCUCAGUGGAUGAAUAGCUGGUCAGAGCUCUGAGCUCUGCAAUGUUUCCUUUCUUAUGGUGCCAAGCCAGGAGGCAGCUUGGUCUCAGGCAACUACUCAUACUCUUCUCUGCUGCUCUAAUCCAAUAGGAUUAUUGGAGGAGGAAGCACUAGGCAAUCCCAGCACCCUCCGCCCCAUUCCUCGCGAUGGUUGGCCACUUCCCUGAUCCACAAUUCCUUCAUGGAUCAUUGGAGGCUGAUUCUUGGGAAAUCUAGCAUUGACUGGAAAAGGAUUCACAUUGAUUCAUUGCCACCAGUUAAAUAUUAUGGAAACAUGUCUGCUAACAAUUUGCUUUGUGUAAUUGGCUCUCAUGCUAAUCAGCAGCAGCUGUGAUGCUUCCUGUGGUAAAUUCCUUUGUGGUUGCAGCGGUAUUAUCACACAUGUACUUCACACACAUGCUGCAUGAGAGUCACUCUCACACUGGCACACCAAAGUUUCAGGAAACUCCCUUCACUCAGAAUCAACGUAAGGCCAAUAAGAACUUCCAGAUGGGGGGGUAUGCAUUGACUUACUGAAGCUGACCCCAAUGGAACCUUCAUCAGGGACCAUUCAUCUCUAUGCAGUUAUCUGAGAUUUCAUAAAGAGAACUGCUGGGAGUCCUCAGGCCAUGAUGUCUUGACACAGUUACUCAUGGAGGCCCGAAGGUCACAGAGUAUCUCCUUGGCAGGAUGGAAUCACCCACUCAGCCCCCUCUGUAUGACUUUUCUCAUCAGCAUCCCUUACUAAUGGAAUUGAUAUGAUUAUUGUCCUCUCCCUGGUCUCAGAAAAAAGUAAUAUGAGAGCAAAAUGCUUGCACACUAUUCCCCCAAAAUAUCACCAAAAGAUCAGACUCACAAAACCUAACCCAAAAGACUAUCAUGGGUUAACUUUUGCUUAGGUAUAUAAUUCCUAACAAAAGUUGUACCCACAAAAGCUGUGCCCAGAAAUCCCCAACUCCCAUGCACAGAAACUGAUUCUCCUAAACCAGCACAUAACUGAUUUAUAAGGAGAGGUUUGUACGAUAUGCCUUAGUACAUCAUGCCUCAGUGACUUGAUUUACUGACCAAAACCCUUCUUGGAAAACUCUCCAACAAACUCUGAAAAAUUAUUAGUCUAAUAUUAAAUCUGAAUUGUGUUUUUAGUACCCCUUUGAUCUCUCUACUUGGUUACUAUGAUUGUUGAUUGUCUCUAGAAUUUCUGAUUGAUUAUCUAUUUUUAUUAAAGGUAAUAAGUGA